CGGGUGAUCUGCCCUGCACUUUGGGAUAAGCCUGGGAAACUGGGUCUAAUACCGGAUAUGACUCCUCAUCGCAUGGGUGGGGGGCGGAAAGCUUUAUUGUGGUUUUGGAUGGACUCGCGGCCUAUCAGCUUGUUGGUGAGGUAAUGGCUCACCAAGGCGACGACGGGUAGCCGGCCUGAGAGGGUGACCGGCCACACUGGGACUGAGACACGGCCCAGACUCCUACGGGAGGNA
rnacentral:rRNA from 1 species